GACGAACGCUGACGGCGUGCUUUAGACAUGCAAGUCGAACGAGAGAGCCCUUCGGGGUUAGUAAAGUGGCGAACGGGUGAGUAACACGUGGGCAAUCUGCCCUUCGUUGGGGGACAACCGGGGGAAACCCCGGCUAAUACCCCGUAAGCUUGUCGGGUCGCAUGGCCUGACAAGGAGAGGUAGCUUCGGCCAUCCGGCGAAGGAGGCGCCCGCGGUAAAUUAGCUGGUUGGUGAGGUAAAGGCCCACCAAGGCGACGAUGUACAGCUGGUCUGAGAGGAUGAUCAGGCACACUCGGACUGAGACACGGCCCAGACUCCUACGGGAGGCAGCAGUCGGGAAUCUUGCACGAUGGGCGAAAGCCUGAUGCAGCAACGCCGUGUGAGCGACGAAGGCCCUAGGGUCGUAAAGCUCUGUUGUUAGGGACGAAGGGCGAAGGGUUAAUAGCCCUUAGCCUGACGUUGCCUUUCGAGGAAGCCCCGGCUAACUACGUGCCAGCCGCCGCAGUAA
rnacentral:rRNA from 1 species